AAACUCCACCCUCACAGCGAUGUAGACUUUUGGGCUCAACAGGACACUCAUACAAUUCCAUACAACUAGUACAUAGUCUCAAAUCCAGGCUGGUCAGUUUAAAUAAAUGGUCACUAUGCGGCAUGAAAAGCCCAAUCCAGAUACACACAGAGGCACACUGGAAACACAGUAGAAAACGGCUGCCAAUUUCAAACCGGAAGUUAAGAAGAGCAAACUCGAAUGUACAGCAAGAGGGCUUCAGGCUGGACUAGCUUCCAGCAGAAGUGAAACUGAAAACCUUGGAUUCUAUUGUCUCUUCUCUGUGAUGUGGGAAAAUAGGUCAGUAUCUGAACUUGAACUUGGUCAUUACUGCUCAUUUCCUAACCUUUUCCAAGCCACGUAACUCCCCUGAGGCUUAGUUUUCUCAUUUGUGAAUUGCGGGAUGAUAUGUUCAUGAGGCUGCUGUAAAGACUGAAUGAGAUAAUGUUUAUAGAAGCACCAAGCAUGGCCUCUGUCAUACAAUAGGUGCUUAAUAAAUAUGAACUGGAGUACA